rnacentral:lncRNA from 1 species
AUUAGCAGACGACGAUAAUAGCCAGUCUGUUUACAAGAAACGUCAGGCUGCGCUGCAUUAUUUUUAAUCAAUUUACGUUCUUAUUACAUAUUCCAUUAUUCCUGCCACCGUUUCUGAUUUAAAUGUUACGUCUAGUUAAAUUAGUCCAUUGCCGAGACUAUUACCUGAGCAUGUUUCUGAUUUCGUCCCCCAAUCUUUACUUUUUUGGAUCAUUUUGACGACUCAAAUUAGUACAUGCUUGUACUACGAAAAAGAAUGAGUCGAAUUGGUAUCGAAAAGCUAAAGAUCCUGUAUUCCAGUUUCUCCUGUGCACACCUCGAGCAGAGCAACAACAAAGUCAACGCCUAGGUGUCAAGGAAUUAAAAAAAAAACCUUGCUUAACCACAAGUUGCUACUUAAGCGUAAAAGAAGUCUGUAUAGAAAGCUAGCUGAAACAGGUUGACGGAACUAUUUCAAUCAUGAAAUAGUGUUGAAAAAUGUCUCAAUCAAACAAACCAGAAUGUUGAAGCAUGAGGAGGGAAAGGGAAGGGAAGGGAGAAGGGAAUAUAAGUCAGGAAUUACUCGCUUAUCCUGUUUAGUUGGUGAGCUGGUGAAAGGCACACUUGAUUCCAAUGACAUGAACAUAAAUCGUGUUAAUGUUGAUCACAAUGAAAGAUAGACAAUUGAUUUUCAACUACCCAGAAAAACUGUUCACUAAUGCCAAUGUUAUGGCUGUAAAAAACGCCGAUUUUAGUUAUAUCGAGCACCUUGCAUUGGUAAUUAGAGGUGAAAUCGUCUCUAUACAUUUAGUCAUCCCGAACUUCUCAAACUUGAACGCUGUAAUCUUAUUGAAAAGGUCAUGUGAUUGGUGAUGAAACUGAUGACAAAUUGUUACAAUACUCUGCCGUUCCAUUGGGUGUAGCUUGCACUCUAGUUUGCGUGGUACAACCCAACAGAUCCUUGAUGAAGCUGAAUGUGUGUUUUACAGUCGACUUUUAAGAAAAUACGCAAUGUCUUCGGCGAAGAUUGUAGCGAAGUACUGAUGGACCAUGACAGUAUAUACUUUGACUGCCAAGACUCCUAACAAAGAAUGAAUGGCUAUAGAGAAUUUCACUGCCCGCAAAUUUCUACAGCUACUCGUCAUGAUUGCCAUAAAUGAGGGUUAUGAUUCAGCCCAACUUGUGUCAACAGAGCUUCGAGUUAAACAUUAAGAAGGAAUUUAAGCAACCUUAGAACUAAUUUAUCAUAUGAACUGUGGCAACAUUAAUUAGAUGUAGCAGUUGGGAGUCACAGUAUCCUUUUUUGUUAAGCGUUAUGUGCAAGUAUCUGCAGCUGAAAGCGACUGAAACAAUUGUAUGCGCUUAUGAUAUCAUUAAGGCAGCACUUCGACAUCAUGAGCAAGACAGAAGUCAUUUUUAAAAUUGCAAUGUCAAUGCACAACUUACAUCCCAACCUGAACUGGCAUCCAAUACCCAUUGCUCUGGUUAAAAUUUAAAAAAACCUAUAGCUAUUUGAUAUCUUUUUGAUAUUAAUUUUCAAGAGAUGACAUUCAACAACUACACCGGUGGAAUUUGAAAUUAAAUCUCCUUUAAAACAAUUCAUUUUUUAACAAGAAUCCCCUAUCGAAAACUUUCUGGCAUAUUAAUUAUUCAAUUACGUAUUUUUUUUCAAUUUUUUCAAAUUUAAGAACUAUCUCAGUUACGAUUCAACACUGCAGUGACUGAACCAUCAUAGGCUAACAUCAAUAUUUUAUUCUGCCAAAAAAAUGAAAUAAAAAAAAUCAAUCAAUGCUAAUUA